rnacentral:rRNA from 1 species
AUUAGGAAUCUUGCGCAAUGGGCGAAAGCCUGACGCAGCGACGCCGCGUGACCGAUGAAGUCCUUCGGGAUGUAAAGGUCUUUUGCGGGGGAAGAAGGAUGUGACGGUACCCCGCGAAUAAGCUCCGGCUAACUACGUGCCAGCAGCCGCGGUAAUACGUAGGGAGCGAGCGUUGUCCGAAUUUACUGGGCGUAAAGCGCGCGUAGGCGGGCUUCUAAGUUGGGGGUGAAAUCCCGGAGCUCAACUCCGGAACUGCCUCCAAAACUGGGAGCCUUGAGGUAUGGAGAGGGAAGUGGAAUUCCUGGUGUAGCGGUGAAAUGCGUAGAUAUCAGGAGGAACACCUGUGGCGAAGGCGGCUUCCUGGCCAUUACCUGACGCUGAGGUGCGAAAGCUAGGGGAGCGAACGGGAUUAGAAACCCUGGUAGUCC